CCUACGGGAGGCAGCAGUAGGGAAUCUUCCACAAUGGGCGAAAGCCUGAUGGAGCAACGCCGCGUGGGUGAAGAAGGUCUUCGGAUCGUAAAACCCUGUUGUUAGAGAAGAAAGUGCGUGAGAGUAACUGUUCACGUUUCGACGGUAUCUAACCAGAAAGCACCGGCUAACUACGUGCCAGCAGCCGCGGUAAUACGUAGGGUGCAAGCGUUAUCCGGAUUUAUUGGGCGUAAAGGGAACGCAGGCGGUUUUUUGAGUCUGAUGUGAAAGCCGUGGGCUUAACCGGAGUAGUGCAUUGGAAACUGGUCGACUUGAGUGCAGAAGAGGAGAGUGGAACUCCAUGUGUAGCGGUGAAAUGCGUAGAUAUAUGGAAGAACACCAGUGGCGAAGGCGGCUCUCUGGACAGUAACUGACGCUGAGGUUCGAAAGCGUGGGUAGCAAACAGGAGUAGAUACCCUGGUAGUC
rnacentral:rRNA from 1 species